GUCUUUUUGUUUUGUUUAAAAAGUCUGACCUGCCCAGUGAUUAGUUUAACGGCCGCGGUAUCUUGACCGUGCAAAGGUAGCAUAAUCAUUAGUCUUUUAAUAGGAGUCUGGUAUGAAUGGUUUGACGAAAUUUUGGCUGUCUCGCUUUUAUGUUAGAAUUUAAUUUUUUAGUUAAAAAGCUUAAAUUUUGUUGGAAGACGAGAAGACCCUAUAGAGCUUUACGUGUUUAUGUAUUAUUAAAAGUUUUGUUUUAUUUUUAUUUUAUAUUUCUAUCCAUGUUUUGUUGGGGCGACAAAAAUAUAUAAUUAACUUUUUUAUUUAUUUUUCAUUUAUUUAUGUUUAUUGGAUCCUUUAUUAUUGAUUGUUAGAUUGAGUUACCUUAGGGAUAACAGCGUAAUCCUCUUUUGGAGUUCUUAUUUUCAAGGGGGCUUGCGACCUCGAUGUUGGAUUAAGAUAAUAGUUGGGCGCAGUAGCUCAUAUUUAUAGGUCUGUUCGACCUUUAAAUUCUUACAUGAUCUGAGUUCAGACCGG
rnacentral:rRNA from 1 species